ACGAACGCUGGCGGCGUGCUUAACACAUGCAAGUCGAACGGAAAGACCCUGCUUUUGUGGGGUGCUCGAGUGGCGAACGGGUGAGUAACACGUGAGUAACCUGCCCUUGACUUUGGGAUAACUUCAGGAAACUGGGGCUAAUACCGGAUAGGAGCUCCUGCUGCAUGGUGGGGGUUGGAAAGUUUCGGCGGUUGGGGAUGGACUCGCGGCUUAUCAGCUUGUUGGUGGGGUAGUGGCUUACCAAGGCUUUGACGGGUAGCCGGCCUGAGAGGGUGACCGGCCACAUUGGGACUGGGAUACGGCCCAGACUCCUACGGGAGGCAGCAGUGGGGAAUAUUGCACAAUGGGCGGAAGCCUGAUGCAGCAACGCCGCGUGCGGGAUGACGGCCUUCGGGUUGUAAACCGCUUUCGCCUGUGACGAAGCGUGAGUGACGGUAAUGGGUAAAGAAGCACCGGCUAACUACGUG
rnacentral:rRNA from 1 species